rnacentral:tRNA from 1 species
GGGGACGUAGCUCAGUUGGCUAGAGCACCUGCUUUGCAAGCAGGGGGUCGUCGGUUCGAGUCCGAUCGUCUCCACCG